UUUCUGAAUCGCAUACGCAUU
ensembl:piRNA 21ur-6702 ncRNA